UGGGCAGACGCGAGUACUCGCGUUCAAAACCGGCCAGUUGUUAAGCCAUGAUCUAGUGCAAGAGAUUGAUACACUCCACUGCUGCAUGUGCAGCAAGGUACAUCAACUGCUGACAUCACACAUUCAACAUUUGUCACCCACUUUUGGGAGUCAAAACAGCGGUCGAGGGGCACCAUUUUCAAACAACACAAGAUAUCCGAAAAGCUAAGAUGAGGGUCUUGGAAAAUAUUACAGAAGAUGAGUUCCAGAAAUGUUACCAUCAAUGGCAGAAGCACUGGGAAAAGUGUGUGCAAUCAGAAGGGAACUACUCUGAAGGAGACAACACUAAACUUGACUAAAAUGAUUGGGAAAAUGUGCUCUACUUGCUACAGAUCUUAUGCCAGAACAUGUUAUAGGUGGGCUCAGUUUCACAGAAAAAAGGGCAAUGAAAAUGUGCAGCUUUGUAAUGAAUACCAAAAUCUGAAAAUAUAGUCAUUAAGGAAAUGAAGUGACAUGUUACAGGUCAUUUGUGUCAGGACUAAUACACAGUGAAUUUCAUAAGCAGUAAGCUGAAAUUAAAAAAAAAAAAGAUUUAACAGUGACUUUUUUCCAGUACAUGUAAUUUAUCCUGAAGCUGUAUUUAAAUUUCUUGAUCAUUAUAACAUUUAUAUAUUACUUACAUUUAGUUGUUUACCAUACAUAAUUAUAUUUAUCACUGGGCAGUUUUAUCACAGUGUUCAUAAACUAUUAUGUUGGCUUACUUUACAUGCACUUUUUCACUGAUGAAGAAAAUUCUCAAGAACAUAUCAUUUGAGUAUAUUGCCAUGUAUCUUGUUCAAAAAAGGCCGUUUACAAUCACGUUGUAAAUUUAAUUGCUACUCACUUAUUUCCUGAAAAUGCAUAUAGGGUAAAAUCACAAAGCAGAAAUAAUUCUACACAUUUUUAUUUCCUUCUGAUUACAGUUCCUACUACACUGACCACUAGAAAACAAAUCAAAGUUUCAUGAUUCUAUCUGAUAUAUACAUUAUCAGUUAUGUUGUACAGAAUAUUGUUUGGUGCACGAACUGCUAUAAAAUUUUAUUACAACUGUUAUUCAUAUUUGUAUUCAAGUAUGAUUACAGUUCAAUGCUCUUUCAAAAUUAAAUAUAUAGUGGUGAUUCUUUGUACUAUUGUUAUAUCCACAAAUAAUGGAUUGUGUUGAACAAUUGACUAAUGAUGUAGUAAUACUUAAAAUUUCUUUCUGCUACAUUGCAGAAUCUUGGAACUUAUUUUACAAUUUUUUCACCCUUCUUUUUUUUAAAAAAAAAAAAAAAGAGA